rnacentral:rRNA from 1 species
GAUGAACGCUGGCGGCGUGCCUAAUACAUGCAAGUCGAGCGAACAGAUAAGGAGCUUGCUCCUUUGACGUUAGCGGCGGACGGGUGAGUAACACGUGGAUAACCUACCUAUAAGACUGGGAUAACUUCGGGAAACCAGAGCUAAUACCGGAUAACAUAUUGAACCGCAUGGUUCAAUAGUGAAAGGCGGCUUUGCUGUCACUUAUAGAUGGAUCCGCGCCGUAUUAGCUAGUUGGUAAGGUAACGGCUUACCAAGGCAACGAUACGUAGCCGACCUGAGAGGGUGAUCGGCCACACUGGAACUGAGACACGGCCCAGACUCCUACGGGAGGCAGCAGUAGGGAAUCUUCCGCAAUGGGCGAAAGCCUGACGGAGCAACGCCGCGUGAGUGAUGAAGGUCUUCGGAUCGUAAAACUCUGUUAUCAGGGAAGAACAAAUGUGUAAGUAACUGUGCACAUCUUGACGGUACCUGAUCAGAAAGCAACGGCUAACUACGUG